GGAGAGAUGGUCGAGCUUGGUUUAAGGCACCGGUCUUGAAAACCGGCGAGGGUUAAUCCCCUCCGUGGGUUCGAAUCCCACUCUCUCCG
rnacentral:tRNA from 1 species